rnacentral:Y_RNA from 1 species
GGCUGGUCUGAGUGCAGUGGUAUUUACACUAAUUGAUCACAACUGAUUGCAAAUUCUUUUGUUCCUUCUCUGCUACCACUGCUUCACUUGACCAGCCUUCA